UGGUGGAGUGAUUUGUCUGGUUAAUUCCGUUAACGAACGAGACCUCGACCUGCUAAAUAGUUCGGCGAAUCCUUUUGGAUUCGUGCGUUUGACUUCUUAGAGGGACUAUCGGUGGUUCAGCCGAUGGAAGUUCGAGGCAAUAAUA
rnacentral:rRNA from 1 species